rnacentral:tRNA from 1 species
GUUUUAAUAGUUUAAUAAAAACAUUGGUCUUGUAAAUCAAAAAUAAAGACAUUCUUUUUAAAACA